AGAGUUUGAUCCUGGCUCAGAUUGAACGCUGGCGGCAUGCCUAACACAUGCAAGUCGAACGGCAGCACAGCAGAGCUUGCUCUGUGGGUGGCGAGUGGCGGACGGGUGAGUAAUGCAUCGGGACCUACCCAGACGUGGGGGAUAACCUCGGGAAACCGGGACUAAUACCGCAUACGUCCUACGGGAGAAAGCGGGGGAUCUUCGGACCUCGCGCGGUUGGACGGACCGAUGUGCGAUUAGCUAGUUGGUAGGGUAAAGGCCUACCAAGGCGACGAUCGCUAGCUGGUCUGAGAGGAUGAUCAGCCACACUGGAACUGAGACACGGUCCAGACUCCUACGGGAGGCAGCAGUGGGGAAUAUUGGACAAUGGGCGCAACCCCUUUCCCCAAUGCCGCGUGUGUGAAGAAGG
rnacentral:rRNA from 1 species